rnacentral:rRNA from 1 species
AGAGUUUGAUCCUGGCUCAGGAUGAACGCUGGCGGCGUGCCUAACACAUGCAAGUCGAGCGAUCUUCUUCGGAAGAGAGCGGCGGACGGGUGAGUAACGCGUGGGUAACCUGCCUCAUACACAUGGAUAACAUACCGAAAGGUAUGCUAAUACAAGAUGAUAUAAGAGAUUCGCAUGGAUUUCUUAUCAAAGCUCCGGCGGUAUGAGAUGGACCCGCGUCUGAUUAGCUAGUUGGUAAGGUAACGGCUUACCAAGGCGACGAUCAGUAGCCGACCUGAGAGGGUGAUCGGCCACAUUGGAACUGAGACACGGUCCAAACUCCUACGGGAGGCAGCAGUGGGGAAUAUUGCACAAUGGGCGAAAGCCUGAUGCAGCAACGCCGCGUGAGCGAUGAAGGCCUUCGGGUCGUAAAGCUCUGUCCUCAAGGAAGAUAAUGACGGUACUUGAGGAGGAAGCCCCGGCUAACUACGUGCCAGCAGCCGCGGUAAUACGUAGGGGGCUAGCGUUAUCCGGAUUUACUGGGCGUAAAGGGUGCGUAGGUGGUUUCUUAAGUCAGGAGUGAAAGGCUACGGCUCAACCGUAGUAAGCUCUUGAAACUGGGAAACUUGAGUGCAGGAGAGGAAAGUGGAAUUCCUAGUGUAGCGGUGAAAUGCGUAGAUAUUAGGAGGAACACCAGUAGCGAAGGCGGCUUUCUGGACUGCAACUGACACUGAGGCACGAAAGCGUGGGGAGCAAACAGGAUUAGAUACCCUGGUAGUCCACGCCGUAAACGAUGAGUACUAGGUGUCUGGGGUUACCCCCCUCGGUGCCGCAGCUAACGCAUUAAGUACUCCGCCUGGGGAGUACGCCCGCAAGAGUGAAACUCAAAGGAAUUGACGG